AGUGUGCAAAAGCACUGGCAGAACUGUCUUUUAGGUGUCUGUUCUUGUCUAUUGAACAUUUUUUGAUCAUAGAUGGAGCUAAUCCUCACCUUAAUCCUGCCACAGACCAGGAUUGCCCGGCAGCAUAACGCCGGAUUUCCACUGGAUGCGUGUCCGUUGUGGAACGGCACCGCUGGUGUGGAGCGGUGCAGCUCUGCCGAAAGACAUCUCGGUGCACUGCCAUGAUUAAUAUCUCCUCAUCCAUGGUGUCAACAGGGUGAAAUGACGUCUUUAAACCUCUGACCUGUUGACUUCAGGCCUGCCUCAGCCCAUUAUGUAGUUUUCAAGGUGUAGUGCAGGGAAAUAUGAUCCACCGUGUAUUUUAUUUUGAAAAUUAACCGGAUGUUUUAUUUUGUUUCUGUGCACAACUUCCUGCCCCGCACGAUCUGCUCUGUGCUAAAUUGUUGCGUUGUGCUCAGCGUCCAGCAAAAAUAGAAGUCCUGCGUAUCUCUUCCGGAGGACUCCGGAGUGCCGGAGCUGAGACAGAGCCGGAACGCAGCACAGCCGCAGCCGGUGGGAACACACACAUUGACUAGAAUUGAAUCCUAUCGGCUCUGCUGCCGUACCGGAGCGGAGACACAACCAACACGUAUCUGGUGGAAAUGGGCCGUAAGUUACCAUGGUUACUAGGCUGGGAUUCAGGUUAACCACCUUGAUGGAACAGAGUUGUGGCUCAGUUUGAUGGAACAGAAACUGGAGUUUAGCUUGAUGUAUCAGGCUUAGCCAGAACCAUGGUUUCCAUGGUUACUGAUGUGAAGCUAAUCUUAGCCACUUUGAUGGAACAGAACUCUGGCUCACAUUAGCCAGACUUGGCCAUUUAAGCCUGGAUUUGCCUUUAGCCUGCUUGAUGGAAUACCCCCCUGGUCUCCUUUUCUCCUUUUCUCUCCUUUUUGCUGCCUCUAGAUUGUUGUUGUUGAUUCUGCUGCGUCUGGUCGUGCUUCCUGAUAACAUCUGUAACUUACGUCAUACAACGUCUUCUCUGGCGAUGCGUUUACUGACUACCGUAAUAACUGGUGUUUGAGUCUGCGCGCAUUUUUCCCCCAUUCAAUGUCAAAAUCGGGGACAUUUUCGGGGACAGCUUUUACCAGGGACAGGUCAUCCAAAUUGGGGGCUGUCCCCAGAAAUUGGGGAUGUCUGUCUGUUAGCAGUUAGCUCCUCACCGUCGGCUCAGACCAGAGUUACCGUGUGUUCAGUCCGGUAAACGGUAUCAGGCUGAUAGCUGGCGCCUCUCCAAUAAGCCAUAGAGUGAAGCCAUGGGUGAAAUGAAGUGAUUCUAAAUCCACUGUGCAGCUGUUCCGACAAUAAAACCGUUGGCUGUCUGAAGUCAGUGUUUUCCCUGUAUGUAACUUGCGGAAAUAUGACUGUCACUCCUGAUUUUGUUUUUCUUUUUCAUCUUAGCUCUUUAGAAACCACUGUGAUAUUAUUUGGUGCUACGGACACUUCAUAUCCAGGCCUAUUAGAACAGGGCUAUACCUUGUCCUUUUACUAAACAAACUAAAUAGCCUCAUGUUAUGUAUCUUAUGCAUGUCAUUUCUGUCUCCACAUGGUCAUGCAUUUACAAUUCUCUACUCUUUGUAUCACGCACAGCGGAGUUUCGCCCCGAUGCGCACAUGCGGAGGUUUGAGUUUGAACGAUGCUGCGCUUUAACCAAUCACAAUGGAGGGGGCGGGGCUGAGACAUGCAGGUGUCCCCAGGAAAUGUGUACCUACAGAAACAGCAAGCUCCACGUCCAUGGCGACUACUCCACCCAAAACACCGUCUUGUCAACGUGAAAAAAAUAUUUUUUCCAGCGGAUGUCUUAGUUACAACAUGAUUGAGCUAACUGGAGUAAUUUCAUGUCCUAUCCGACAACGGGAGGCUUUUAACAGAUGACAUCCUGAUGUUAGCUUUGCUGCUGCUGUUAGGCUGUUACCUGUUCCUGUCAGCUGCAGCCACUGAUGCUCUCUAGACAUUGUGAUUUCCCAAAACUGAAUAAAUACCACACAUAGCAACACAAAACUGCUUUGCUAGCUCAAACAUGUUGUAACUAAGAUAUUCGCUGGAAACAUAUUUUUUUCACGGACCGUUUAUUGAGUUACUGAGUUGCUACAGGCACCGCUAACGGGAUAACAGCUAACGGUUAGCCCAGCUAAUCUACGUUAACCAUGUUAUUAAUUACAAAAUGUGCACACAGAAAUAGUAAUGUUUGUUCAGCCAUUGUGUUUAUAGACUUUACAAACAUCAGAUUAGUCUAAACGGUGAUAUAGUGACGUGAAAAAAAAAAUAAAAUAUAUAUAUAUAUAGCUAAACUCCGCUGGUUUUCUACCUGGAAGUAUUUGUAAACAACAAGGCGACUCCCUGGGGGCACCGCCGGAAGUGAAGGGGUUGAGCGAUCCCCGAGGCCCCUGCACUUCAGUUAGUCGAAAAACUACGGGCAAUGCCUCCAGAGGUAAAGGAAGAAAAAAAAAUCCUUUUUUUUUUUUUUUUUUUUUUUUUUUGGAACCGAUGGAUUUCCAGAUUGGACCGAACCCAACCCAAGUCCAAGAUAAUUAUAUCUGAACCUGCAGCACGGCACUAAUGGAGCACAUCCAUUAGCUAGCUCUCUGUUUACGUGACAACGCCUGCGUUCAGGCGUUGUCACGUAAAUAACAAAUUCCAGCACUUGAAUACGCCAUAGCACAACACAGCAGCAUGUCAAGUGGGCCGAACCCGAGCAAAACUUUUGAUUUGUUAUCCGACUGAUUCAGGUAUGUUGACAGACAAGUUUUGUGACAAUUGACCUAUGGCUGAGCCACACCCCCCUCCACUCACUUGGACAAACUAUCAACAUUCAGUGACCAGGCGCUAUGGCAGGUGUCACAGUACACGGCAUUUCGCAGGAGGCAAUUGAUGAUUUUUGUGGACAUAACAAUCAGAUUUCAUUAAGAAGUAACCAAAAGAGCCUAAACUACGCAUUGGAGGGAUAUAUUAAACAUUUUAUUGUUGAAGGUCGAUGAAAAGCUUAAAUUACAAGCCAAAAUGUACAGGUCACAGUGUAUGCUUGUGAACCGCAUCUCGUUGCCAUCGCCAUCAAAGACAACAAGUUAAAAAGGCAACAGACAGCAUUUUUUUCUAAAUAUAUCAUUAUGAAAAUAAUGUGGGUUGCACAGGGUAGUGGCCACAGUAAAAUCAGACUAUCAGCAUUUACAUAGGUUACUUAGUGGCUUUGCAAUCUUUGUGACAAAGACGGUGGAUAAACCAAGACAGUCCACUGCGAGUCAGUUUCCUGUAUCAGUGUCACGUGGGGUUCGUGACCACCACGCCCCUUUAGGAGACUAACAGCAGGUCCUGAGUCCAUUGACUUCUGUGGGAGAAAUGAAUGUGAUUCUUUCGCCCCAUAGUCACGGAAGAAAAAUAUUGGACCCAUUUAUCAGAAGCCACAUCUUCAGAACAUUCCAACACCAAAAUGGCAAAUUUCAGACGGACAAAUCAGGAGAAAAUUUACUUUGUUCAAGAUCUGUCUCUGUCUCAACAACACACUCUCGCGAGAUCUGGCAACAGAUAUCUCCUCUCUGAUGCUGAAAUCAGAGAAAACAGUCACCAGAGAUACUGGAUUAAAAAAUAUUUUUCCAGUGGAUAUCUUAGUUACAACAUGAUUGAGCUAGCAAAGCAGUUUUGUGUUGCUACGUGUGGUAUUUAUUCAGUUUUGGGAAAUCACGAUGUCUAGAAAGCAUCAGUGGCUGCAGCUGACAGGGACAGCUAACAGCAGCAGCAAAGCUAACAUCAGGACGUUAUCUGUUAAAAGCCUCCCGUUGUCGGACACGACAUGAAACUACUCCAGUUAGCUCAAUCAUGUUGUAACUAAGACAUCUGCUGGGGAAAAAAAAUUUUUCACAGACCGCUUAUUUAUUUAGCUAACAGCCAGUAAGGGUACACACACGUUGACAGAAGCGAGGUUGGGGAUACUCGUCUUUGAUUGGCGGUUCUCCAUCAUCUUUGAUUGGGGUACGGGGGACAACACCUACUUAGGAGACCCGAAAUAUAUACCAUUUCAUACAAUGGGAGUAUAUUGUAGGUGGGCCAUCUUGUAGUAAUCCAGUAACUUUGUUUGUAAUAAGCUUCUGCCAUCGGGGUGAAAUUUCGCUGAAAAAAUCUGCUUUACGGCAGGAAACACGUCAUGUAUUGCGAAACUUGGCUCGACUGCGAUGCACGCGUAGCGCAACAGCUUGCUCUCAACAAAACCAUCUACCACCUAAAACCAUCUCUAUCAUUUAUUUCAACGACUAAACCGAUAAGUCAUCAGUGCACAAUGUCUCCAAGAAAACCCAGGUGCAAAAGGGAGGGUGACCGCCUGUCACCAUUGAAGAAAAAAUCCUUGGUUACGAUGCCGAAAGAGGAUCUAGACGACGCCAUUGCCAACGCCAUUAGCUCCGUGUUGUUAGCACAGCAGAGUGAGCUCAGCACGUUCUUUCAGUCGGCAGUGAAAUAAACGGUCAACAGCAUCCUCGUUCUGCAGUUAGCUGAAUUAACACGACAAAUAAAAGAUACCAACAAUACUGUGAGUGAGCUAGCCCAGGGCCUCGAGUCAUCACACAAAACCAUUAAGAGUAACACGGCUAAGCUUGACACACUACAAGCUACAGUGAGGGCUAACAAACGUGAAGUCAACGGCCUUCAGCAACAGGUGGGGGAACUCACCUCAAAAAUCACCCAGAUGGAGGACCCCAGCUGGAGGUCCAACGUGAGACUGGUUGGGCUGAAGGAGGGCGAGGAAGGGUCGGACGCCAUCGGCUUCCUGAGCACCAACCUGCCCAAAUGGAUACCUUCUUUGGGAAACUGGGACAUCCACACAGAGAGGGCCCAUCGACUUUACAGCAGAGUUAACUCUGAAAAAGACGCCAACCGUCCUUGUACUCUGAUUUUCAAACUGCUGGACCACUCCAACCGUCAGGCCGUCUUGAAAGGAGCCAGAGUUCAGCACGAUGGACAUCCCCUGCUGUUCUUCCCAGACUACAGCAGAGAAACGACGGACAGGAGAAGGGAGUUCGCCCCAGUUCACAAGAAGAUCCCGUCGCUUGGGCUUCAGCUGUUUCUGCUCUACCCGGCUCAGCUAAAGAUCAUCUACAACAGCACCAUCACCUUCAGGAUGCCACACGACGCCGAAGAUUUUCUUCAAAACACUUUCCAGUCCCCACCUGCCUUACGGAACCACGACACGGCUGCAUCGUCCCGGGAACCGGACAACAGUGAGACGGACAACUCCUCAUCACACCCACUGUGAGUCCAGGUAUCCACAGCUGAGCGGCCUCUUGACGCUUGAAUGUAAUUUGAUAAUAAUUCUUUAAAGUGUAUAUUUCAGGUUGAAAAUUUUUAUGACUUUUUUUAUGGAUUUACAUUUCUGAGCUUAUGAUUAAGCCAACUACACCCAAAAAAUAAUUUAAAAAAUUCAUCUUCACAGAUAAAAAGGGCAAAAAUAUGGUGAAAAUUGCGGGUUUCUGAGGAUCGCGCCAAAAACGAGUUUUUUUCAUAUUUACAGUGAUGACGUAGCAUGGGGGAGUUGUCUUGACCUUGCAGCUCACAGUAAACUGCGUAGUUUGGCGGUGUAUCAGGGUAGUUGGUAACUUUAGUCGGUAGUCAGUUGUCUAGUCAGUUAGUUAUUAUUUAAUCAGUAAGUAGUCAGGGUCAGUCAGUAUUCAGUAGGUUAGUCAGUAGUCUGUCAGUAUUCAGUGACAUUAGGUCAGUAACGUUAGCAAGGUGGUCGGGUGGCUGGCGGUUCUUAGCUAACGUCAGUGUGCUAGCUAGCUAGCUCUCUGUUUGUUAUUAGCUAGUUUUGUCCGCCUUUUCACAUAAUGGUGAAAUACUGCGUUUGUGGGGGCUGCACAAACUCUAGUCUAUCUGGACAUAGAGUUCAUACGUUUCCCACAAAUAGGAAAAGUGCCACUUUUCAUGUGUGGGUGCAUUUUGUCCAAGUGAGGAGACGGGACUUCACUGCGGCGUCAGCAACCAAGAACGUGGUUAUUUGUGGCGCGCACUUCACACCGGAGGAUUAUAUUCCAGGGUACAUGAUGGAGUGUGAAAUGGGAUUUUGCCACCAGAACCGGGUAAGACUGAGAGUGGGUGCUGUUCCCUCUCUGCACACAGCAGCAUCGUCGGCUCCACCAUUAGCAACACUGCUGACCCCGUCUCAGCCAGGACACAGCUCGGCUCGACGAAAGCGGGAACUGCGCAGAGUGAGUCAUUUUCUAACAUUGCCAACUUCCAAAUUGCCGGCAUAAUGUAACAUUAACGUUAGCUACUAAUUGUUGUAAGGCGUAAUUGCUAACCAUAGUUUGCUAACAUUGUUACAGACUGGUAAACACCUGUAGCCUAUACAUUUCAUCCCCUCGGGCAUACCCAUAGCCUAUAAGUUAGCCCAAAUGGCAUGACACCCGUUGGACUGGGAAGCUUGCAAAAAUAUCGUAGCUAGCUAACGUUAGCUAUAUGAGACAACGUGUGCGAGCGAACCCUCCUCCAUCUGUCAAUGGCGAAAAAGCGGUGCUACGAAUGUGCACAAAGGGCAGGCUCGUGUUUGCUGCAGAGACUAGCGGGUUGCACAGGGCUUUAUUUCACUCGCCCGGUGACCAGUGACCACUAUCAGGGAAACGCACUGUGUCAUCAGAGGACCGGCAAAAUGACACAUUUACCAGUCUGUUUCAAUUAUAAGCACUCAGAAGUGUACAACUUGGUUGGACUUUGUGAGCACAGCUAGCUAAUACAUUUGUCAUGUAUUUAUAUAUAUAUAUAUAUGUGGUGUCAUGCAGGCGAUUUGGACCAAGAGGCCUUUCCAAUGGCUCCUCAACCAUCUGUGCUGCACUGUAUAACUCAGUGUAACAUCAGACCCUUGCAUCGUUCAUCAGCAACCCAGGUACAGCCCAAGAUGGUCAGUGUGGGGACUCAGACAAGUUUUGAGGAAAAGACCUCCACUCCACUGCCCAGCCCAAUAAGCAUAAUAAGCAAAAUAAUGAGUGGGUCAUCUGAUGAUGAUAAACCAUCAAAAGAGCCACUUCAGGAAUCUCACUCUGACUUCAGGUCUGUGCCUGUGGGUACCAGCAUUCUUGGCAGAACCAGCCAAUGCUGAACCGAAACAUGCCUGCCUGCAACCUCCUACUGAGUGGAGCCAUCCACUUUUCAGGGUGCAUGGCUACACAGACUCUGCGGAUGCUGAAGCUGUUUGGGUUGCAGUGCAUCAGUGCCGGGACCUUCUUCCACCAUCAGCGCCUGUACACUAUCCCCACCGUUGUGGAUACCUGGCAGACUCAGCAGACAGAGCUCGUCAGACAGCUGAAACAGAUGGGUGGAGGACUAAUCCUCUCUGGUGACUGUAGGUCAGACUCUCCUGGCCACUGUGCCAAGUAUGGCACCUACUCUCUGAUCGAGGACAGAGUCAACAAGGUGGUGGAUCUUCAACUUGUUCAGAGCUCCGAGGUCCCAAGCAGCAACUGGUGGUCAGGUUGCCAAGUGGGUGCGGGAUGAGAUGUGCCCACAAGGAACACGCCAUUUCUUUGAUAUCUGGCAUAUUGGUAAAAGUAUAGGGAAAGCGCUGGAUGUGGCUGUGAAGGAGAGAGGGUGUGAGGACCUUAAGCUGUGGAAGCCAGCCAUAAUCAACCACUUCUACUGGACUGCUGCAUCCACGCCUGACGGAAACCCAAAUAUCAUGCAGGCUAAAUGGGAGAGCAUGGUCAACCAUGUGCUCGACAUCCAUGAGCAUGACACCCCUGCGUUUACCUGCUGUGCACAUCCACCUCUGGAGGGAGAAGCAAGGGACAAAGCGUGGCUGGAACCAGGUACAUACAGUGGUGGAAAAAAGUUUUCGGACACCCCAUGCAUUUGUGAAAUAUUGCAUUAAGAAUCACUCUUAGGUCUUCAAGUGCAAUUUCUUUUAGUACAGUCACAGCCAAAAUACUAAUUAAAUCCUAAAAAAGCCAUUAAAAACUUAAAAUUGAUUGGUUCCAUAAAAAUACAUAACAAAUUUUGAGUAUUGGGUCAUUUUGGUACCAGUGAUGAAGGUCGUUCUUUUUAUUAAAAGAGACAAUUUUUGUUGCCAAGCUCCGUGUCUACAUAAAGCCAGCACAUGUGGCCGACUUUUAGAUCAUGGCUUAAGGUCCUACAAGGCUAUCAAGAAGCCCCUGAUCAAUGAGAGACAGAGGUUAGCCCGGCGUCGUUGGGCCCAGGCACACAAGAACUGGACAGCCAGGAAUGGGAAGAAGAUUUUGUGGUCAGAUGAGUCCAGUUUCCAGCUUUAUCUUCCUCCUACUAAUGUAGGAGGAAGAUGGAGACUAGGUUAAUUGGGGACUAGGUUAAUUGGUAACUCUAAAUUGUCCGUAGGUGUGAAUGUGAGCGUGGAUGGUUGUUUGUCUCUAUGUGUCAGCCCUGCGAUAGUCUGGCGACCUGUCCAGGGUGUACCCUGCCUCUCGCCCGAUGUAGCUGGGAUAGGCUCCAGCCCCCCCGCGACCCUCAAGAGGAUAAAGCGGUUAGAAGAUGAAUGAAUGAAUGAAUGAAUGUCUAAUGCAGCCACACCUUUUGAAACACAAAAAAGAUUUUUCCACAAAUAUUUCAUGAUAAUAUUUGAGAUUGUGUAAAAUUUUAAGGGUGUCCGAAAACUUUUUUCCACCACUGUAUAUGUGUGUGUGUGUGUGUGUAUAUAUAUAUAUAUAUAUAUAUAUAUAUAUAUAUAUAUACACACACACACACACACACACACACACGUAGAAUCUAGCUCCAUACACAACUCCAUCAUGGAUAAAACUCACACACAGACUGAGGGCAGCAAUACGGCAUUGUCUAGUCUGCCAUUUCAAACAAAGAAGAAGAAGAAUGCUUUCUGGGUCAAGGCAAAGCAAGCUUGAUUAAAUGUGUUUAAUGUGUUUAAUAAACACAUAACAGAAAAUCAGAUAAAUGCUCGUUUUGUAGUAUGUAAUAAGGGCAUAUGGAGAUAGUUGUAGUGACAUCAGAACAAGAUGUGUUUCCACAGGAUCAAAUGUAGCUAUCAAACUGGAGAGUGUAGCUACCAGACCAGCACUGGUGAAGGAUGUCCGGCGGCUCUCCCACAGCACCAGACCUUCUCUCAGGAGGCAUUUCACUCCCUCAUGCUGCACUUUGCCCCCAAGCACACCAGCUUCUCCUUUCUUGGGAUGUACAGCAGGCUUCUCUUGGCAGCCCUGCAUUACAACAACAACGGCAGCAGAGAGAUUGCCCGGACGAGUGAUGGUGAGGCCUGUUACGCCGUUUCAUACCCAAGGUUCCGCAAAGCAUAUGCAUCAGCCCUCAUGGAGCCUCUGAGAGUGGGAUACUCCAGGUCGCCACAGGCUCUACGUGAGAAGAGUACUCUGUUGUCCUCAGCCACACCUGCCCCCUUUUGCAGAUCCUUCCAGCAUAUCAGCAAGGAUGAAGCCAUUGGCCAGCAUCGUGCACGACAGUCACACUUCAGCACAGGACAUUAAUACAGAUGCUAUUAUACUUUUUAUUUUACGUUAUCUGUGUGUUUGGAAACUUAUUUUGUAUUGAUAUAUUCUUGCACUGCAAACUAGCUGUUAGAGUGGCUGCCAAUAAUGUGCUAACAUUAGGGUUAUGUUUUUUUUGUCUAUUUCUCACCGUGUAUCACCUGCAUCAGCACCACAUCCACGGGGGCUGCCAUUGUUGUUUAGAGGAGUAACGUAAUUGGUUUAGAGGGCUGUGUGACGUCAGAAAUCGUGACUGGGAGUACGUCGAUCAGAGAUCACAAGUGGGAAGUUACGGAUUUGACUGCCGUUCCAGUGCACGUUUACGGGUAGAAGGUUGUAAAAACAAAAGUUACGGAUUGCCUGGAACGUGCCAUAAUGUGACAGAAAAGUCUGAUAGAAGAAUAGAAUAGAAGAGCAAGUCCGCCAUCUAGAGACCAAAAGAUUCUAUACUUUUGUCUAUGUGACACAGUACAUAAUUGAUUCUUAUUGAAGUCACAUGAAUGAAAUUGUAGUGCAGCUGCUGAACAGUGCACACCCUAGUGUCUCACCUGUACAGAGCAGUUUACAUGAUACCUGAUGUGUUUGUGUUUAGACAAAAGCAGUGUUGGGCAGUAACAUAUUGCACAUUAUUCUAAACUUUACCCAGCAACGAGUAAAGGGAUAACAUUUUCCAAAGCAGUAUUUACAUUACAGUUACUAAAUCAGGUAACUGAACUACUUUGAGCUACUUUGUUACCGGAAAGUAAUUUGUUUUUGUCCGAAUAAGGCUUAACAAUAAUGAUGCCAAUGUGUUGCUCUGAGAUUGACAGAAAUCAGUGGUGUCAUGCAACAUUAUUUGUUUUGGUACAACCAUUUGUCUUUGCUGCACGUAAUACUGUAUGUGUAAUUGUUCAUUUAUGUUGAUCUGAUAAAACUGACUCUGUUACAAGAGAAGUUGGCUAAAAAAAAACCUUUUUUCAUAUGGAGCUUGCAUUAUAUUGUAAACUAACGAGUUAAGUAAUCACUUUUGAUAACAAAUAAAUAAUUGUUUUACUCUUUUGAGGAGUAAUAAGCAAUAAGUAACUGCUGGGAAUUACUUUUUCUGAAUAACUUGUCCAAUACUGGACAGAAGACACUUUGUGAAUGUGAUUUUUGAAUCUCUUUAUUAAUUACCCCCCAAAUGAGGCCAUUCAAAGCCCUUGUAAGUCCCCCCUUCCUCUGGGAACUGUCUCCUGAUGGCAGAGGCGACGCAGGACGGAAUGGGCUUCCUUAUGUGCCUGCCCAGAACCCCAUAGGCCCAGCGGACAACCUGCCUAUAGGCUGUGUAGCGGUAUUGCCUGGGGAAUGGGAUAGGGACACAUUCUAAAAUCUGACAAUAAUAAUAAAAAAAAAAACAGUGUAACAGUACAGUAACAGUGUACAUUAUUUCUGCCCUACACUUACUCAUGUCUGGUUGCCUCCAGAGGACCAUGCUCCUGCCUGAAAUUGAGGUAGGCUAUAUGGAGCACAAACGGGUUCAGGCAGCAUGCCUCAAAGCCUGCGUGCUGUGUCAGGCAGGUAGUGUCCUCGGGUCUGGGGGUCAGAUUCUCCACCAGGGGCCAGAAGGAAAUAACCUCCCUGCAGCACAUGCUCUCCACAGUAGAGGGCAUAGCCUGGCAUUUCCCACACAAGCACAUAUCAAAUAAAACGUGUACCCCUAAACUAAACACCCUAAUGUCUCACCUGUACAGAGCAACAUUGCAUAUUUUCUAAUGUAGUUUACACGAUAUCUGAUGUGUUUGUGUUUAGGCAAAAGCAGUGUUGGGCAGUAACAUAUUACACAUUACCCUAAUCUUACCACCUCCUGGCUGGAUCCUAAUUGAGGAUGGGGGAUAUCCCUGCCUGACCGCUCCAAUCAGCCUCAUGACACCAUACAGGGAGCUGGUGCAAAACCCUGUGCAGGCCAGGUACAACUGGCAUCACGCCAAGGCCAGAUUUGUGGUGUAGAGGGCAAUUGGCAUGAUGAAGACCCGGUGGCGCAGCAUCUUUCUCAAGGCGCUCGAGGUUAGAUCUACCUUUGUGCCAGUGGUGGUGUCCACCUGUGCUUUCCUCUACAACCUCUGCAUCACCAAUGGUGACAUGGUGGAGCCAGAUGUGGAGGAGGGGGGCAUCCACGGCAAUGAUUAC